UUAAAAAAAAAAAACAAAACAAAGCGUCUCUACAGAGAAGAGCCCAAUAGUCACUUCUUAAAUCCCCAAAUUCCCUUGAUUUGGUUCGAUCGUCGCUUCCAAUUCCUUUUCUCCCCGGUUGCCGCUUCAUCCUCUUAAUUUAGGAUUUAGGCCUUCCUCUCUUACCCAUUUUUCUUUCCACGUCAAUUUGGGAUUUAGGAUUAAAUCCUCCAAUUAUUCUUCAAUGCUUUUCGUUUCCCGACCAUGGCCAUCGUUUUUACCGUUUUGUACUAUACCACUGUGGCAUACUAUUAUUCAUUCAAAAAGUAUGGUGUUGUUCCUGAUUAAGGUUAAUGGAAGUUGAAUACUACCCACCCAAGGAAAAUGCGAUUCUCCAGAAUGAGGCUCCAACAGAUUUGUAUGUCAUGGUCUCAGGAACAUUGGGUCUGCUAGCAGAUAUCCUUGGACAUGAUCAAAUCCCCGGUGAAAGCUACUUGCGAAGGGCUUUUUCAGAUUUGUUUGAUUCAAUUUCAAUAAUCACGGGCAGAGUUAUGCAGUAGUUUUCCACUUGGCACAGAGCCUACAGAUGAACAAUUGAAUGAAUUGUGGAUUGCGACGGUUGGUGGCCCCACUAGGUUUGGCACAACUUAUGGAAUGACAAAUAUAACGUUUCGUAAAUUUCCGUCGCCCUUGCAAGGCAUAGGUUCUUCCAAUGAUGCCGGGUCGUCAGAUAGAGCGAGUGUUAUGGCAAUGGAGCAGAAGAUUGUUAAGCUAUCUAUCCAGUUACAGGCCUCGGAGGCUAGGGAUAGGCGGAGGGACGAGCAGCUACAGGCUGCGGAGGGGAGGGAGAGACGGAGGGACGAGCAAUUUGCGGGUAUGAAAGCUCAAUUAGACUUAUUAUUUUCUUCGAGGGGGAUUCACCCUUGUCCGGAUGACGCUCGUAGCUCCAAGCGUCGACCUCCCCAUUCUCAAUCUAGGUCACGACAUCGAGAGGUUGGUCAAGAACACGCACUUGUAGAUGAGCCAAGUAGUGGUGAUGAUGAUGGGGAGCACAUGUCAAACACAGAACGACAUGGUUGAAUUUUAAGUAUCUUACUAACUUAUGAAUUUUUUGGUGGAUUUGUAAACUAGUAUAAUGUUUUGUGGAUGUUUGCAAAGGUUGAAGUAAUUUAAUGUUUUUUUGUAAAUGUUGAAUUACAUUUUGAUUCAACUUUGAAGUAGUUUCGAGUUGAAUUUGAUGUAGUGCGGGUUGUAGCAUGUUAUUAUAUGUGCUUGUUGGAUUGUUAGCAGCUAUUUGAGCUGGUUUUAGCUAAAC